rnacentral:ncRNA from 2 species
GGUAGAGCCAUCCUUGCGGGUCGCCCUUUAAAGGCGAUAUAGGGAAGACGGUGAAAGUCCGUCGCGGUCCCGCCGCUGUAACCGGGGACAAAGGCCGCUCGACGUCACUAUCCUUCGAAGGAUGGGAAGGCGCGGCCGGAGGUUGAUCCGGAAGCCAGAAGACCUGCCCGCAGGCUGUCCUGUUU